rnacentral:rRNA from 1 species
UCUCAGUUCAGAUUGCAGGCUGCAACUCGCCUGCAUGAAGUCGGAAUUGCUAGUAAUCGCAGAUCAGCAUGCUGCGGUGAAUACGUUCCCGGGCCUUGUACACACCGCCCGUCACACCAUGGGAGUCGGUAACACCCGAAGUCGGUAGCCUAACCGUAAGGAGGGCGCCGCCGAAGGUGGGAUUGAUGACUGGGGUGAAGUCGUAACAAGGUAUC